rnacentral:rRNA from 1 species
GCAAGUCGAACGAUACCAAGAGGCUUGCUUCUUGGAAAAGUGGCGCACGGGUGCGUAACGCGUAUGCAACCUACCUUAAUCAGGGGGAUAGCCCGAAGAAAUUCGGAUUAACACCGCAUAAAAACACAGAGUAGCAUUACUCAAUGUUCAAAUAUUUAUAGGAUUAAGAUGGGCAUGCGUGUCAUUAGCUAGUUGGCGGGGUAACGGCCCACCAAGGCGACGAUGACUAGGGGAUCUGAGAGGAUGACCCCCCACACUGGUACUGAGACACGGACCAGACUCCUACGGGAGGCAGCAGUAAGGAAUAUUGGUCAAUGGAGGCAACUCUGAACCAGCCAUGCCGCGUGCAGGAAGACAGCCCUAUGGGUCGUAAACUGCUUUUAUCCGGGAAUAAACCUUUCUACGUGUAGGAAGCUGAAUGUACUGGAAGAAUAAGGAUCGGCUAACUCCGUGCCAGCAGCCGCGGUAAUACGGAGGAUCCAAGCGUUAUCCGGAUUUAUUGGGUUUAAAGGGUGCGUAGGCGGCCUAUUAAGUCAGAGGUGAAAGACGGUAGCUCAACUAUCGCAGUGCCUUUGAUACUGAUGGGCUUGAAUGAACUAGAGGUAGGCGGAAUGAGACAAGUAGCGGUGAAAUGCAUAGAUAUGUCUCAGAACACCGAUUGCGAAGGCAGCUUACUAUGGUUUUAUUGACGCUGAGGCACGAAAGCGUGGGGAUCAAACAGGAUUAGAUACCCUGGUAGUCCACGCCCUAAACGAUGAAUACUCGCUGUUAGCGAUAUACAGUUAGCGGCUAAGCGAAAGCGUUAAGUAUUCCACCUGGGGAGUACGCUCGCAAGAGUGAAACUCAAAGGAAUUGACGGGGGCCCGCACAAGCGGAGGAGCAUGUGGUUUAAUUCGAUGAUACGCGAGGAACCUUACCCGGGCUUGAAAGUUAGUGAAGAUUUCAGAGAUGAAUUCGUCCGCAAGGANACGAAACUAGGUGCUGCAUGGCUGUCGUCAGCUCGUGC